rnacentral:miRNA from 1 species
UCAAAUUUUUGCCGGAAAA